UUUACAGUAUGAUUAAAACUACUGUAGUUAUUUUUACGGUAAUUUUACUGUGGUAUUAAAUACAGUAACUACUGGAUAAUUGUUGCCAGUAAGUUACUGUUAAUUUGACAAUAAACAUUUUACAGUGCACCUUACUUUUAUACAUCCAGUGUCUCUGCCCUUCUGUGAUUGUAACAGUAGAUCAUUUUAAACAUAUGUCAAACGUCAAACACAUUAAUAAUUUCUUCAUGAACACAUUAAAGUACCGGACUUUUCAAAGCAUGUUAACAAUGAGAAAUCAAGUACUAAAUUGUGGCAUUGGGAGUCGCGGCGACAAGGGGUAGGUCCAAACGCAGGCUUUAUUAGAAUGAGCGUAGUCGUACAGGCAGGGGUCAAACAACAGCAAACAGAAAUAUAAGGGCAAGGCAGAAGAGUAAUCCAAGUCACAGGCAAUGGUCAAGACAGGCAGCAAACGAUCAUCAAACAAGGGAUAAACAUUCCAGUGUCAAAAACAAGGCAAGUCUAGGAACUAGGAACAAGGAAUAACACGGAGACAAUGUUGGAUAAAGGCUAAACAAUACUCAAGCAAAGUGUGUGUGUUUGGGUGCAGCUUAUAAAAUGUCACUGAUGGGAAACAGGUGUGUGUGUGUGUGAUUGGUUCCUAGAUGGGGAAUUGUGGGAAAUGUAGUCCAGAGUGAUGUGUGACUGUGUGCAAUGAAAAGGUGACCUAUGGUGGGGAGUAGCAGGAAACAGCAGGCAAAGGAUAUGUGACAUAAAUAAAUCAAACUGUUUUUAUAGUAAACCAGAAAUUAUGUGCAUAAUGGUGUUUGUGAGUCCUGAUGUCCUGUUAUGUUCCCGAUGGUGUUCAUCAGGACUCAUGAACAAGUCAUGUGACACUAGAUUAAACAAUGUUCAUAUGAAAUGUUCAGAAUUAUUGAUUCAUUAAUUUAAAGCUGCAGGUUUUUCUGUGAAUCAUGAUGAUUGAGCUUCAUAUGAAGAACAGAAGAUCAUUAUGAGAAACUCCACAACAUCAUCCAUGAUAAAAGAGGUCAAAGGUCACCUCAGAGGUCACAGAUCAUCAAAAAUAUUUCUAUUAACAGUGUUAUAUCAGACAUCAUUUCAUCCAAACUGAAUGUUUGAGUGUUGAGAAGAUGUGAGUUUCUUCUAAUAUCAGUGUGUUGAAGUGUUGUUUCUCUCUCUCUGCUGGAGUUUGUGUUCACUCGAGUGGAAUAGAGGUUUUUGUACGACCGUUUCAUUAGAUUGUAUCACUGUGGUGCACAUUCGGUGGAGGAACUAAACUGAUCGUCAAAUCUGGUCCCACAGUGAAGCCCUCAGUGUCUCUGCUGCCGCCCUCUUCUCUGCAGAUCUCUGGAGACUCAGCCGCACUGCUCUGCCUGCUCAGCUCUUACUCUCCACAGGGGGCGCUGGUGAGCUGGACACUGGACGGGUCAGAGGUCACCGAGGGGGUCGUGACCAGCGCAGAGAGCCAGCGGGACGGCCGCUACAGCCGCAGUAGCGUCCUGACCCUCAGCAAAGCACGCUGGGAAGAGGGAGAGGUGUACGUGUGCAGAGUAACACAUGAUGGAGCUCCUCAUGAGGUCUCGUUCCACAAGAGCUCUGAGUGCUGAUGUUUCUCUCCUGAAGAUGAGCCGUAUCUGAGUGUCCUGUGUCAGGCAGGAUUCACAUGAGUCUAGUGCUGCAGCUGUAGUGAUUUACAACUCAAUACUGAAAGAGAGCUGGCGUGUCAAAGCACUGUGUGAUCUUUCAAUCUGCUGUAACAUUCAAUAAAGCUUCUCAACAAGUUCA